UACGUAGGGUGCAAGCGUUGUCCGGAAUUAUUGGGCGUAAAGAGCUUGUAGGCGGUUUGUCGCGUCUGCUGUGAAAUUUCGGGGCUCAACCCCGAACUUGCAGUGGGUACGGGCAGACUAGAGUGUGGUAGGGAGACUGGAAUUCCUGGUGUAGCGGUGAAAUGCGCAGAUAUCAGGAGGAACACCGAUGGCGAAGGCAGGUCUCGUGGGCCACUACUGACGCUGAGAAGCGAAAGCAUGGGAGCGAACAGG
rnacentral:rRNA from 1 species